rnacentral:rRNA from 1 species
UGAGGAAUAUUGGUCAAUGGGCGCUAGCCUGAACCAGCCAAGUAGCGUGAAGGAUGACUGCCCUAUGGGUUGUAAACUUCUUUUAUAUGGGAAUAAAGUGCAGUAUGUAUACUGCUUUGCAUGUACCUUAUGAAUAAGGAUCGGCUAACUCCGUGCCAGCAGCCGCGGUAAUACGGAGGAUCCGAGCGUUAUCCGGAUUUAUUGGGUUUAAAGGGAGCGUAGGCGGGUUGUUAAGUCAGUUGUGAAAGUUUGCGGCUCAACCGUAAAAUUGCAGUUGAUACUG